CGCCCCCCGGCGCCGCGGCGAGUCGCGCAGCGGGCGCCGGGAGGGGGGCGGGGAGGAAGCCGGCGCCGGAAUCACAAAGCCGCGAACCCAGCCGGGCGGGGACACUCUCGUAAAACCGAUGCUCUCGCGGCCGGCGGAAAAGGGGCUCUUGCCCUACAGUCAAUUCCCAGUGGCCUCAGCAUCACCCCCAAUCUUUCCUGCCGGAACGAAUCGUUGCCCACCACUGCUAGGGAAACUGAGGCCAGAAGUCUGAGCUAGGGUAGCUGGGGGAGGGGGGAACGGGUGCGAGUCCAUUUCACCCACCAGUUCUACUCCCGCGCCUGCCACGGUCUCCCUUCUGGCCCCCAGGCCUUUCCCCGACACACGACUGGCCUGCAGCCGGGACCGGGAAGAGGGGGCGCCCUGGUGUGAGACUGACCCAGGUGUGCGGGACCCAGUCGUACAAAUGUACCUGAUGGCAAAGGAAUCACGGAAACGCAGACUAGCUCUCUGAUCUCUGCAACACAAAUGAAGAAAGUAGGAACAGAGGAAGAUGCCAAUUGGCCAAUUCAACACCGACUUGGACCCUGUCACUUAGGAGUUUAUUGCCAGUAAAGAGAAGAUUCCUAGCUGGGCAUGGUGGGAUACACCUGUAAUCUGGGCAACAAGAUUCUUUGUACCCCAUUUUCAAAGAUUUUGACUCAGCACAUCCAGCAGGAGGCCCAGAAUCUGAGUUUUCAGCAUGUACUUGAAAUGCCUCUGAUGUAGGUAGUUCAGGGACUAUGUUUGAGAAACAUCACUAAACCAUAUGCAGAAUCUGAGGCUUGGAGAAGUGAACUUGCCCAGGAAUUUGCUAUGGAAAGCAGAAUCAGGAUUCAGGAUUCAAGCCCAGACAGUCUGACUCCAGAGUCAGAAUUGAUAAUUACCAAAGUAUCAUUGUUGGGGUGCUGGAAAGCAGGUGUGUAUGUGGGGGGGUAGGGUAAACUACUACAUUUAAUAGAACAACCAUUGUUAGAUGUUCUCUGGCUUCCCAGUCGUAAUUAGAACGAAUGUUUUCACAUGAAGGAAACAUGGUAUUUGGGUACAGUGAGGAUGAAGAACACUCCACCCCAUCUGUCUCCCUCAUGGUUGCUUUCUUGGGAGUAAGGCUGUGUUGAAGCUCAAUGGUAUAGCCUUGCCUAGCCUAGGUAAGGCCCUGGGUUCAAUCCCCAGCACCAGGGAGGGCGGCUUGUUCUUUCUAGCGUUGGCAGCCUCUGGCAGGCCCCAAGUAGGGGAACGGCCACAUUAACACGGUCUGGGGCACCUGCCCCCCAGCAAGGAAGGCUUGGAGCGGCCUCUCUGCAGGCACUGAAGCUCUGGCCCCCAGCAGCCAAGGUUUGGAGGAGGGAGGAGGGGUGCAGCGGUUGCUACAGUUUAUGCUCCUCCAGAGCUUCAGAGCAAGAUUUCCCCAAAAAGCCAUAUUAAAUAAAUAAAAGGAAAUUCAGCAGAUGGGAACAUGAAUCAAUGAAAACUCCCAUAUGAGUGCAAAGAUUUAUGUCAAAAAACAAAACAUCAACAUCUGGGAGCUGCCGCGUCUUCUCUUGGCUGCUCGUUUGGAAUGGAUUCUCGUUGUCGCUUUCCGCCUCUUUCUGGCCCUGGGAGAGGACGAAAAGAAAUAAAGAAUGAAGCCCAUUUUAAAAGAGUCGUUUUUAAUCAGAAAUGAACGCUGCUUUCCCCCUCAACGCUGGAGGAGACGUGAAGCAGGCACAGGGCUGCGGGCUCAGUCCUGGGAGCGCGGGGAGGGAGCCCUCUGCCGGAGGCUGCCGGGCGCCCCUCCCUGCCCAACCCGGGGUGGCUCCCGGGUGGGAUGUCUCCAGAUUUCACAGCUGCGGUGGCAGCGGCAGCACCCGUCGCACUGCACCGCACUGGCAAGGCGGCGCCUGGUUGGUCACGUGGACGGGAGCCCAAACCAGGCAACUCUGGCCACCUCUACAGGCAGUUGCCACUGGAGAGAGCACGGAGAGCACGUCUGACCAGGACAAAGGUAUACCUAGGUUCCUCCAGUCUGGAGGAUAAGCAUCAGCGACAAGUAGCAAAGCUGGAAUGUGCACCAAAGAUGGAAGUCCGCACUUAAUUCUUAGACCCGGUGCAGGAAUUAAGAAGGUAGAUGUUGGGCCCUAACGGGUGGGUUCAAAUCCCAACUACGUUAGCACCAUCUGUGUGAUCCAGAGCAAGUUUACCUUCCUAAGUCAGGAUUUUCCUCACCUGUAAAAUGGGAAUAAUAGCACCAAAAAAGUGAAAAGUAACUGAGAAAACAUGCAUGCAAAGUACUUAGCACAGUGCACAUAUACAUAAAAUUGAGUAAAUUUUAACUAGUAUCAUUCAAAAAAAAAAAAAAAAAAGGCUCUGCAUAACCUGUGCUCCCAGCUCUGCAACCUUCUAGAGGCCACUGAAUUCCUCCAUUAUAGGGUUCUAGUCACAUAAGCCUUGUUUUCCAUCCAGCAGACUCAGUACUUUCAGCCUCAGGACUUUUGCACAUUCCCUCUGCCUGAAAGAUUUUUUUCACCUUCUGCUUCAACCAAGCCUCUGUGUGUUUGUGUUUUGCUGGGGAUUGAACCCAGGGCCUCUUACAUGCUAGGCAAGUACUCUAAUACUGAGCUACAUCCCUAACCUACAGCCUAUCCUUUCUUUGGGCCUACAUUACUUGUUACAUGGUGUGGCAAAUUCCUUCCAAUUCUUUCCUCCCCCAAAAGUGAUCCUCCUGUUCUAUGCUGUCACAGCAGCAGGUUUCUCCUUACUUGCAAGUUUCCCAGUUGAAAUGUAGCAUUGGUUUUGUUAAGCGAUUAAUGUCUUUCACCCUUUGGACAGUUCACCAGGCUAGGAGCUCAGUCUGUUGCAUUUGCUGUGGUAUCUCCAGCUUCUAGGACAUCGAGGGACCUAGGCCCUCCACUUAUGGGGAGUAACUAGAGUGGAUGAUGGGACUCUGAGGCCGAAUGAAUCCUGAGUCUUCUAUAUUGUUUCACCACUUCCUUCCAAUAAACAAGUAUUAAGAUCAUCCAUAUACCAAGUCCUAUGCUGGACACAAGGGACAUAGACCCAUACAGUUCUUUGAUUUAAUGGAGCUUAUCAUCCAAAGGCAACGACAGAUAUGUAAACAGAGGACUAAACAGAUGGGAUAGAGAUGGCAGUCAGGGUGUGUGUGUGGAAUGGGGGUUGUUAUUCCUGCAAGGCCAGGGCCCUAGGGUUCAGAUCAUGUAAGUGAAUAAAACUGAGUGCUUUCCCUGCAUUAUCUUACUAAAAUUCAACAAUUAGACUCAUUAUUGAAUUACCACCCCUUCAGUAUCUCCAUUUUUUUGUUUGUUUAUUUUUGUGUUGCUGGGGAUUGAACCCAUGGCCUUGGUCAUAUAAGGCAAGCACUCUACCAAUUGAGCUAUAUCCCCAGCCCUUCAUCAUCCCUGCAGUACAGAGGAGACAGAGAAGUUAACUGACUGACCUAGGACCACAAAGACAGUAAUGGCAAAGGCAGGAUGCACAGGCACAUUCUGACUCAGAGUCAGAGCGCUGAACUAUUUGGCAGGGCAGCCUCCCUGCCCCACUCCCCAUCUCUGUGCUGGUGGGAGGAGAGCACUGCCCUCCAAGAUUCCUGUUGCAGAAAUGUCUCCACCUGGGAGCAGAGAGCAGGCCAGUAGAGCAGGGCUGCUGGGCCCUAGAAAGCUGUACACUCUACCCGUGGGACUUGGUGAUGAAUGUUCACAAGGGUGCAAAGGGGAUCUGUAAUAGCUCAGCUAAAAACAGGAGUGCUUCUGGCCUCCAGAAGUGCACCAAAACCCCAGCACUUGAGGGAGGCCCCAGCCUGAGCCUGGCACAAUGCCCUGAGGAUGCAGCUCACACUUUUCACACACUCUUGAAGCACUGAAGAUCCUGCGACAUCUCUCACCACCCCGUUGUUUUAGAUUGGAUUCCCAUCCUCCAUGUGCCUCUAAUGGCAGCUCUGCCUGCCCUCCUGAGUCCCAAGAGUCAGCCAGCACAGGACUUGGGGGCUUACAGGAGCACUGCUCUUUGGAGUCUUUUCUCCUGAGGCCUGACUAAGGUCAGGUUCCUUCGAGAAUUUGAUGAGACCAUCCAUCUUUUUCAGGCCUCCUACCCUCAAUUCUCUUGGGGAAAGGUGCAUCUUCCCUCAGUAUCUGGAGAAUUCUGACAGGUGGAUAUGAGAUCUCAGCAGAACAUCUAAGGGAAAAGGCUAGCAGGGGAUCUAGGACUAAAACUCAGGAAAGAGGACAAGGUAAGGCUAAUCAUUGUUACCACCGAUUGAGUUCUUUCUGUGCGCUGGACAUUGUGCCAACUAAGCACUUUAUAUGUACCUCAAUUCACAGAGGAGGAAUUAAGGUUCACAAAUUCAAGUAACUUUCCCAAGUUUACACAAUCAGAAAGUAGUGGAAGAUUCAAAUACAGGCCAUUAGGAUUCUAGAACCUAAGUUCUUAAUCACUAUAUUCUUAUUUAGGAGUCAAAAAAAAAAAAAAACAAAAGGGAGCUUCAGAAAAGAGCAAAGAACU